UGGGGAAUUUUGGACAAUGGGGGAAACCCUGAUCCAGCCAUCCCGCGUGUGCGAUGAAGGCCUUCGGGUUGUAAAGCACUUUUGGCAGGAAAGAAACGUCGCGGGUUAAUACCCCGCGAAACUGACGGUACCUGCAGAAUAAGCACCGGCUAACUACGUGCCAGCAGCCGCGGUAAUACGUAGGGUGCAAGCGUUAAUCGGAAUUACUGGGCGUAAAGCGUGCGCAGGCGGUUCGGAAAGAAAGAUGUGAAAUCCCAGAGCUUAACUUUGGAACUGCAUUUUUAACUACCGGGCUAGAGUGUGUCAGAGGGAGGUGGAAUUCCGCGUGUAGCAGUGAAAUGCGUAGAUAUGCGGAGGAACACCGAUGGCGAAGGCAGCCUCCUGGGAUAACACUGACGCUCAUGCACGAAAGCGUGGGGAGCAAACAGGAUUAGAUACCCUGGUAGUCCACGCCCUAAACGAGUCAACUAGCUGUUGGGGCCUUCGGGCCUUGGUAGCGCAGCUAACGCGU
rnacentral:rRNA from 1 species